rnacentral:snRNA from 1 species
AUACUUACCUUGGCUGGCCUCCGGGAGAUCAAGAAUUCCUAGAGGUAUGGCGAAGAGCCUUCAUUGCACAUCGAGGAGUUCUUCGUCAUUGAUUGUCCUACGGGAUCGUCAUGGCUGUAAUUUUUGAUGUUUUCCACACCU